rnacentral:lncRNA from 1 species
UUGGUUAGUUGGGGCUAGCGGCAGUUGGGACCGCAAGGUGUCAGACCCAGGUGUCAGACCCACAGUGGUCCGGCCCGAACCUUGGUGAGGUAGGGGCGGGUCACGUGUGAUAGGUCGGGCGGGAGAGUGACAGGCCGGUUGCACCUGUCAGCCCGUCCGAGAGGUCUGCGGGGUGCCGGGGGAGUCUAGGCCCCGGCAGUUGCGAGAGUUGGCUCAACCACACGCCACGACAUUACCCCAUACUACUGAAGGUGCCAGGCAGCGUAGCUGCCACCGUGUGUGUAACGCACCAGCUAUUGUCAAGCUGUCGAACCCCAAUCUCCAACAGGUCAUGAGCCCCGUGCCGCGGUAACGCGCGCGGUCGGCAGCUACUAGCUAGGUAGGGUGGACGACCCAUCGGGGGUCCUUAAGUUCCCGCCGCUCGCGGAGGGCAUAGCUAACUACUUUAAGUGGUACCAACACCUCUACGACUUCCUAGCCACCCGUAAGCCUCCCCUAGCAGCCUAUCUCAGCGACCCCGCGCCUCCGCACCGCACGCCCCGCGAGCAUGCGGACGAGUCCGCGGCAGCCAUGGGCUGGAUGCGCAUGUCCUGCAGUCCGGACGUUGCGCGCGCCCUCUGCCACUACGGAGACGCCAGCUACGCGCUUCAGUACGUCCAGCAGCUGUUCUGUAUCACAGCACCCCACAAGCUGUCGGUGCUCGACACCGAGCGCGGCAACUUCCGCAUGCUGGAGGGUGAGUCCGUGUCGGCGUACUUUGGCCGCGCCUACUGCCUGCGGGAUCAGAUCCUGGGCUUGGGCAGCGCCGGGUCGGACAACGACAUUAUCCUGCGCCUGCUGCGCGGGCUGCCCCAGCUCGACUUCAAGAUCCCCAUUGAGAUCUGCAACGCGCAGCCGCCGCAGUCCCUCGCACCGCUCCGCGGCUACCUCAUGCAGCACGAGCUGCUGCGGCCUGGCGAUCAGGACUCCGGCGGCCACGUGGGCAGCGUCAACCGCGCCCCCGGCGGCGGCGGCGGCGCUGGUGGCAGCGGCGGCGGUGGCAUCAUUUGCCACUACUGCUCGCUGCCCGGGCACAUCAAGCCCAACUGCCCCGUGCGCCGCGCCGACGAGAGCGCGGGCAUCUACCGCCCCAACGUCCGCUCGCCCCCGCAGCGCCAGCAGCAGCAGCAGCGCCAGCAGCAGCAGCAGCGGCAGCAGCAGCAGCAGCAGAAGCAGCGGUUCGGCGGUGGCGGCGGCCGUGGCGCCAGCAGUGGCGCCGGCGGCGGCCGCGGCGGCGGCGGCGGUGGCGGCCACAGGCGAGGUAAGCGGGGUUCGGCGGAGGUUCUGGUGCCGGCGGUGGCGCCGGCACCGCCGCCUCUAGGUCCGCGCAUGUGCUGAUGGUGCGGGUGUGUGACUGCUGGGCCGACCUGUAUGCCGGCAGCAGUUUGAUCCUGCACCCCGUUGACGCUGAGUCGGCUGGCUCCAGCGCCAACAGCGGCUACAGCCUGGCCGGCGGCACGGCCAGCAGCAGCUCCGCGGGUGGGAUCCGCGGUAGCAGCAGUAGCAUCAGCAGCAGCUGCAGCAGCCUGGCCCUCCGUGGCCUCAGCAGCAGCAGCAGCUACAGCUGCAGCGCCGCGCCGUCUCAGACGGGCGCGAGCAGCAGCCUGCUGUCCUUUCCCCACCGCGCGGUUGUCCUGGACCACGCCAGCGGUGGAAGCAGCAGCAGCGCAGGUGCCGGUGGCUCCCGCAGCAGCCGUGGCGACGCCGGGCUUGCGAGCUCCGGCGGCCACGUGUUCGUCGUCCGCGACAUGAGCGGAGACAACAUGCUGGGUCCCAACGUCGGCGGCAGUAGCAGCAGUGUGGUGUCAGCCAGUGCUGGUGGCGGCAGCUCCAGGAGCGCCCCGCAUAACCCUCAUCGUCUCCACCAACACAACGCUUCCAGUCUCCUCCCCUUUCCCCACCCUCUUCUUUUCCAGUCCCCUUCUUUGCCUAGUGCCCACCUCCCUUCUAGUCCCCCUCCCGUUUCCCCACCCACCUCCCUUCUAGGUCCCUCCCCUUCCCUGCCCUCCUCCUUUCUCCCCUUCUCGCCCCUUCCCUGCCCGCCUCCCUUCUACUCCCGCUCCCACCUCGGCGUACUUGGCCUCAUCGAACUCGCCGCCGUUGGCCGCCAUGGACUGCAGCAGCGGGAUCAGCUCGUGACCAUACGGCGACAGAGCGCCGUAGGGGUGCUGCGGGGGGUGAGGGCGUGGGCGGCAGGGCGGGGGCGGCGGAUGCAGGGGUUGGCUGGAGUGAGCUGCCUAUGUAGGUGCACGGGGUCAGGGGAGCAGGGCUGGUGGGACCGGCAUGAGAAGCGGAAGAAGUGGGGGACAAAGGGCACGGCAUGGCGUGGGCAUGAGGGAAUGCACUGCCACGCACCUGCCGCGCAUCUGGCAAGUACAAACUUUCGGCGUGAAAUACGGUACCGCAGCACACGCACUUCACGGCGAUGGGCAUUCCAUCACGGGUUCACGUGAGACUUCGCAGACCGUGCCCUCCGCGUUGGCACCCCCGAAGCCCUCGCACACCUGGUAGAAGGGGCAGGAGGGCUCGGGGAAGAACUCGGGCGCGGCGGCGCUCAUGCCCUUGCUGGCCAGGAGCUCGUUCAUCUUGGGAACAUCGUAGAUCCCUGCAGGCCACCCGGUGGUCAUGGCAGGCGGUGAGGUGGAGAGGUGGGUGAGCGCGCGAGCAAAAAGGAUACAGACUUGCAGACCGCCGGCCGCUGGCCCCUGGCCACUGCGUGGCGUUGCUCCUCCCAUGACAGAACACCAAGUGGCCAACCGCCGCGAGCUUAGCAUCCUAAGUUGCCCCCACCCCACACACACACCACGGGCACGGGGCACCACCAGCAAGAGCAAGAGCAACAACAACAACAACACAACUUCUGGCCGACCGGCCAGCACGCUCACAGUGCAGGGGCAUGGUGGCGAUGUCUGCGAGCAGGCCGCCCAGCACCGCGGCCUUGGCGCGCUCCCGCACCGCGGCAUCAGUGGCAACAGUCUUGGCGGGCGCGACGACUGGCGCGGCGCUCAUGGCAACGGUCUGCGAGCAAAUUGUCCGUGAUGGGAAAUGGGAUGUAGUAGUAGGGGUUGAUGAGUAGGCGGUGCAUAGGAGUUCGGGGAGAGGGUGGCGGAGCGGGGCCGGGCGUUGGUCGCGGUGGGUGGCGGUGGGCCACACGACACACGAGCCAACUCAACUGGGUCUUUUGUUUAUAUGCACUCUCUACAUAUAAGCAUCAUCAAGUUAAGGUUGAUGUUGCAAUCUGUCGGGCCUUUGCGUUGCAGGCGCGACGCAUCCACUGAACGAUCCUCGCACCAAUGUUGAAUUCAUCGCAAUGCUUUGCAAAGGAAUGCUUGCAUGUCUCACCCGAGCAGCAGUGCGUCCACGGGAUACAGAGGCUGCGGGGCGGGCGAGGGCAGAACGGAGAGCCAUGCUCUUGGUCAGAGCGUCGUAACGUAAAGCUGUGAUGGCGUAAGAAGCUGUCAAACAGCAAAUUCUAUCUCGCAAUUCUAGACAAAUGCAACCUCAUACAAGCGUAAACCGGCACGCCGUACAGGUCAGCAGCCAGCGGCCGUGACACCUGGUUGCACUUACCCACUGGACCCUUGUCCCUAUGCAAAUAAAUCGGCUGGGUCACAUUUGCCACGUACAAGGCUGGGACCGAAGCACGAAAGGGCCAUACGGUAGUGGGAGGAUAGGAAUGAGGGUGCCCGCUUGCCCGCGGUGCGCCUCCCAUCGUGUGACACGGGAGCUGCUGAGCCGCAGCGCCAAGGCCGCAGCGCCAAGGCCGGCCUGCAGGCUGCAGUUCCCUGUGGGCCACAUUAUGCGCUACCUGAAGAAGGGCAAUACGCCGAGCGCAUCGGUGCCGGCGCGCCCGUGUACCUGGCCGCCGUGCUGGGGUACUUGACCGCUGAGGUGCUGGAGCUCGCCGGCAACGCCGCCCCCGACAACAAGAAGAACCGCAUUGUGCCUCGCCACAUCCAGCUGGCCAUCCGCAACGACGAGGAGCUGGGCAAGCUGCUGGGCGAGGUGACCAUCGCCGCAUCGCGUCGGGCGGUGUGCUGCCGACCAAGGGCGGCAAGCGCAGCGCGGAGGCCGCCUGAAGCGCUGGUCCUCGUACCAUAUAUUCAAUCGCUUGCCAUACUUGGUGUUACUCAACACCACCCUAUGCCAUUCACCGCGGAUUUACAGUGGCUUCACUCACUGCACACGCCUGAUCCUCAUGCCAUACACAUUCCCACCCCUGCUGCAUGCGCAACUCCACGUUCCGCAUCAUCCUCCGAGCCGGCAUCACGUCUAUGAUAUAGCGGUAAUCAUCCACCAAUUGUUUCUGCCAACCUGCGAAACCUGUACUGUACAGUAUUGCUAUAACUGCGCGACCUGCUUCAAGUGCUCAACACAAUAUGAUGCAUCCUGCACGCAUGAAAUGAAUGGUCGCCAGGUGAACACCGUGCCUGCUCCAGCAUCCUGCACUUGAUCACUGCGUGCGCAGCCACACGUGACCCAAAUCACGUCGCCGGCACCUACCUAACCCAUGCCUAGCCACACCGCUCAACCGUUCUAGCGUUUACCGUUACGCUACAUGCGCGGGCCGGCCGCCAUUGCAGCAAUGAGAUCUGACGCCCCCGUGGCCGUGCGCGCCGCCGCUGCGGUGCAGGCUACCGGGUCCAGCGAGUAGAGCUCCAGCAUCCCUCGCGGCUCCAUCAGCUUCCGAACGACCCCGGCGAUCGCCCCGACCAGCAGGGCUGCGUUGUUGCGGCACAGGACAUGGGUGGGCUCGUCGCCAGCAUGGCUGGCAGCUUCCUGCGCCUCCCUAAGCUCCCACAGUCGGCGGAGGCCCCACCGUGUCACCGCGUCCACCGGGUCAGCGGGUGGGACGCGCGCCAGCGCCGCCGCUACCUCCGCCUUCACCGCCUCCCCGACCACAGCCACCGCCAAAGCCUCCAGUGGGGCCGGUGCAGCUCCGGCUGGCUGGACAUGUUGUCCUCGCGGCACGUCCGGCACAACGACCAGCUGCAGCGCCGCCGAUUCUGCAGCUGCAGAAUGGCGCUGUGUGUUUGCGUAGGCCCCGCCGCCGCCGCCGUCGCUUGUGGGUGCGCCAGCGGCUGCCUCACCGCCGCCUGUCGACUGCUGCCUUUGGCCUGCCGCUGGCUCGUGCUGCUUCCGCUCCGCCGCCUGAUGCUGCGGCUCCGUCUUCUGCUGCUGCUGCUGUUGCUGCCUUUCCGCCUGGCGCUGCAGCUGGUGCGGCUGCGCUGCAUGCUGCUGCUGCUGCUGCUGCUGGGCCUGCUGCGCUUGCCACUCCGCCUGCGGCUGCUCCUGCUGCCGCGCUACCUGUUUGUCCUCGUGCUGCGCGCGUUGCAGCUUCACAAGAUCGGCCAGCGUCAUCAGCUCGUCUGCGUCAUCUUCUUCCUCCUGCUGCUCAUCUUCAUCCGCCUCCACCUCCUCCUCCUCGUCCUGCUCCUCCUCAUCCUGCUCCUCCUCCGUCUCCACCUCGCCCACCGCCCCGCUGUCCUCGCAUCCCGCGUUGCUUGCCCCGGCCACCUCCUCGGCCUCGGCCUGCGGCACCACCGCUGCCGCUGCAGGUGGGGCCGGUGCGGGAGGCGGCGGCAGCACGAAGGCCGGCGGCAGGGAAAUGACGCCUGCUCGGGCGCACACAUUGCGCGCCCGCUCCAGCAGCUGCACCAGCUGCGCCGCCGCCUUGUAGCGCACCUCGUAUCCCGCAGGCGCUUCGUCCCUGUUGCGCGUUGGGGAUGAAGUGGUGACCCUGGUGCAGCUAUCGCAAGUCCUCAGUGCAAACCGGUGUUAACUUUAACAAACAUUGCCUUAUCAAUGCCGGCGCCCAGGUCCAAUGCCGGCAGCACGACUCACCACAGCAGCUCAGAGCGGGCCUGCACAGCGCUCAGCAGUGCGGACGCGGCGGCAGAAGCAGCAUCGCCAAACUGGUCAACCAGCUUCUCGACCUCGGCCAGGAGCAUGUCUGUGGAGAAGGAGUGCCAAGUAAAGCCGGGGUUCAGGGUGAGAGCGUGGUACAUGCGCGACAGCGCUGAAAGAGCUAUGGCCAAGCUUGACGCCCUGGUGACUGACUGGCAGCGUUCAUGCUGCGCGACGUGCCCAGUGUCUCGCACUGAUGGCGUGUGCUUUACUCACUUGCGGCCGCCGGCAGCAUGAUCCGUGCAAGCCGCUCGACCGCCGACGUCAUGUGGUCCCGCAUCUGUAAGCCGGCAUCGGCAAGCACGGGGUAAGUGCUGCUUGUUCGCCGGAACACCGCUGUCGUGCCGACGCACGCGUUGGCAGGACGCCUCGCUGCACUGCUACCUCCACCCCCAAUCUACCCCUAUGGCACGCACCCGCUUGUAGGAGCCUGGCCCGCGCUCGCUGGCGGCGGCCUGGUAGGCGCCCUGGAGCGAGGUCCGUACGUGCGGCUCCACCACGUCCUGGCUCAGCGCCUUGCUGGUCUCCACCAGGCCCGAGUGCAGCGCCUCCAGCGCCUGCGCCAGCUGCCGCUCCUGGUCGCGCCGGACCUGUGCGUGCACAGGCGGGAGGGCGCAGGUAGGCAGGUGUGCAGGCAUGAGCAAGUGAGAGGGUGGGUGAGAGUGCGCGUGCAGCAGCAACGACAUCGCGACGUCUUGUACGGUGAUGGCUACCCCAGGGCGCCUCGGGGCCACGCAUCGUGCAUGCACACAUGUACCGGCGGCAGACUGGCCCACCACGCACCAGCCCAACGCACCUGGCGGUACAGUUCGUCCAGCCGGCCCGCCUCGGCCGGCAGCAGCUCGUCGCCGCCCGGCAGCGGCGCCACCUGCGCCUCCAGCUCGUGUCGCGCGCCCCUCACGAAGUCGUCCAGCUCCGCAAGCAGACGCUCCCGCAUGGACCUGCAGGCGAUUCGUGUGUGUGUGUGUGUGUGUGUGUGUGUGUGUGUGUGUGUUAAAGAGCACAAGGCAAACGUUGCGCAAAGACAGUGUAUGCGAUGCAGCAAAGCGACGUGUGUGUGUGUGUGUGUGUGCCGGCGGCAGGCAUGGUGUUGACACCGACGGGCAACCUUUUCCCUAGACCUAGACUCGGUACUAGCAUAUUUGGCACAUGACACCGUGCAGCCUGCGCCUGCCCCGCCCUGCCUCUUCCGACAUGCGCAGGCCGAUAACGCUGCCGCCAGUGCCGUGACCACCACCGUGCCACCUACUUGGUGAGCUCCGAUUGGAAGAGCCGCGCCCAGGUGACAGCGAUGCGGUCCAUGAUGGGGCGCACGAGCGCGCCGUUCCAGUUGAUGGGGCCCACCGUGGGGCUGGUGUAAGAGCCGUCGCGGUGAACCACACCCUGCAGGCGAGAGGCCGAUGGCCCCAAAGCGCCAGAGCGCGGCUGUGUGAGCGCCCAUGCCAGAGAAACCACAAUUCCCGCCAGACNNNNNNNNNNNNNNNNNNNNNNNNNNNNNNNNNNNNNNNNNNNNNNNNNNNNNNNNNNNNNNNNNNNNNNNNNNNNNNNNNNNNNNNNNNNNNNNNNNNNUGCUUGCAGGAAGUGCGCUUAAGUGACACCGCCACGGUUUUGAACAGCCGGCCGACACGCACACCACUAGCACACACGCACACCACACGCACACGCACACACACACCACCCCCACCACUACCCCCACCCCCACCAACGGUGGCCGCACCUGCAUGUACGGCACGGGCUCGUAGGUCAGCUCUGCAGGGGUACGUCGAACAGGGCGUGGGGGUUAGCGAGCCCACGUGCUGGUUUGGCAACAAAGCAAAGCAGCAUGCGCCUCUCGCGAGUCCACAGCCACCAUCGCUCGGGUUCAUCACAGCCGCCAAGCUCCCAUCACUCUUGACACGCCCAUGCCUUCGGCUCCGUCCGGCCUCUUCACCCCAACCCCCAAACUCCCAAACUCCCAAACCCGAAACCCCCACCACCCGGCCCCCGCCCCGGCCGGCCUCACCACGCAGGGGGGUGCUGCGGCUGGCCACCGCGCGCUCCACCAGCGCCCUGAUCUCGGCGGGCAGGGCGCCCUCGCUCGCGGCCCAGGCCAGAGCCUCCUCAAUGGUGUGGCCCUGUGAGGCGGGGCAGGCGGGGCAGGGGGGGGCGGGGCAGGGCGUUACACUCAUGGGGUGUGUGUGUGGAGAAAUGGUGAGCGGGAGCGUGUACGGGUGUGGAGUGGAGGCAGGUGUGCAGGUGGCGGUGCAGAGCGUGAGUGGGCAUCGGUCACGGGUGGCAUGGCGAAAGUGAUACCAUAUGGGUGUGGCGAAGUAGCAGCAUGGCAAAAUGCGAAAGAACACCUUGGCCACGCCUUUGCUGCCACACGCCGCAAACCUCCGCCUCCCGCCCCGCCCCACCCCGCCCCACCCCACCCCGCCCCGCCCCGCCCCACCCCGCCCCACCCCAAACUCACCAGCACCACCUUCUCCAGCAGCAGUGCGCCUGCCAGGCCGUACGCCACCGCCUGGUCGUUGUCCUGCUGCACACGCACCGCCGCCUCCACCACCUGGCGCAGCUCGGGCUUGCCGGCGUAGCGCGCCACCAGCAGCGAGGCCUGCGGGGUGGAGGAGGAGGUUGUAUUCACGAAUGGCUAAGGAAGUGGUGGACGGUAGAUAAUCUUGGGGACCAGCAAUUGUUAUCGGUGCGGGGGUGGGGGUGUCGUGAGGAGUCGGCGAGGUAUCAGGGAGGGGCAUGCGCAGCGCGAAGGCGAGCUGGAGAUGGCUUUGCUGGUUGGGCGUGCAAGGCGCAAUGCAGAUGCUGGUUGGGCGUGCAAGGCGCAAUGCCGAUGCAGAACGGGUCAAGUGCAGGCCGCGCGGCGUGCACCCACCUUGGCGAAGCAGUUGGCCUGUGCGGCGUUGGGGAGGAAGGGGUGGGGGAGGGGAGGGAUGGAGCUGUGAGGAGCGCUGCCUUCAGGUGCAUAACGGAUUGGAGACCUCUACACACACGACACGCACGCGCCCUUCUCCCGCAUGCCAGUACCCACCACUACCAUGGCAUCCCUCCCUAAGCCAAGCCACGGAUCCGCCCCCCUGGGUGACUCUCCCCUCCGAACCACCCAUGCACGCACACGCACACACACACACGCGCGCACGCAUAAUGUGCGCAUGCAUGGCAUCCCUCCCUAAGCCAAGCCACAGAGCCGCCCCUCUGGGUGACGCACCACUCCCAACCACCCAUACACGCGCGCACACACACACACACACACACACACACUCUCCCCCCCCACACACACACGCCCCGCCCCGCCCCGCCCCGCCCCGCCCCGCCCCGCCCCACCAAGCCACGGAUCUGCACCCCUGGGUGACUCACGUACACACACACGGUAUGCGAGGCAAUUUCAGGUAACAUCCGUAAACCGCCGCUUUGCUGCAUCGCAUACACUGUCUUUGCGCAACGUUUUCCUUGUGCUCUUUAACACAUACACACACACACGCCCCGCCCCGCCCCGCCCCACCUGGUAGUCGGUGUUGUGGCCCACCUCGCGGCCGCGCUUGCCCUCCUCCCAGUUGGUCACCAGCGCGCGAACCGAGUGGUUGCGGUAGGCGUUGGGCUCGGUGGCUGUGAAGUAGGUGUAGAAGGCCUGGCGGGGGUGGGGCCGAGGCCAACGUCAGCUCCAUCGUCAUCAGAAAGCCCAGGAGGCAGCCGUGCACGUUUCAGGUAUGUUGGUUAGUUGGGGCUAGCGGCAGUUGGGACCGCAAGGUGUCAGACCCAGGUGUCAGACCCACAGUGGUCCGGCCCGAACCUUGGUGAGGUAGGGGCGGGUCACGUGUGAUAGGUCGGGCGGGAGAGUGACAGGCCGGUUGCACCUGUCAGCCCGUCCGAGAGGUCUGCGGGGUGCCGGGGGAGUCUAGGCCCCGGCAGUUGCGAGAGUUGGCUCAACCACACGCCACGACAUUACCCCAUACUACUGAAGGUGCCAGGCAGCGUAGCUGCCACCGUGUGUGUAACGCACCAGCUAUUGUCAAGCUGUCGAACCCCAAUCUCCAACAGGUCAUGAGCCCCG